rnacentral:rRNA from 1 species
UACGUAGGGCGCAAGCGUUAUCCGGAAUUAUUGGGCGUAAAGAGCUUGUAGGCGGUUCGUCGCGUCUGGUGUGAAAGCCCAUCGCUUAACGGUGGGUCUGCGCCGGGUACGGGCGGGCUAGAGUGCAGUAGGGGAGACUGGAAUUCCCGGUGUAACGGUGGAAUGUGUAGAUAUCGGGAAGAACACCAAUGGCGAAGGCAGGUCUCUGGGCUGUUACUGACGCUGAGAAGCGAAAGCGUGGGGAGCGAACAGGAUUAGAU